UCUCCGCCCUUUACAGCCGGCAACGCGGCGGGAGCUCGGCAGGAGCACCGCCCUCGCUCCGCCUCUCUCCCGGCGGCCCCGCGCAGCACCCGGGAAGGUUGAAGAAUCGGGCGCUGCGCCCUCGCGGGAGGACCAAGGUACCCUGAAGUAGUCCUGGAUGGGACCUGCUCCUGCCUUACUGCUUCCCGUAGGAUGGAUGUUAGUUAAGAGUUGGAGCUAAGGGAACGAGAGGAUAAAUUCGUUUCCUAAAUGGUUUUUUUUUUUUUUUUUUCAGUCAGCUUGACCUACUUAAUUUCUGAAUAUGUUAGAAGAAGCUUUCCCUCGAGUUUUGAGGGUUUUUGUUUUUCUUUUUACCCAUUUCAGUAAACAACGUGAUCUGGGAUGCAGGAAAGCAGUCAAUAAAAAGAUAAAUGAGUCAUCUGAUCGCUCCACGCAGAUAAGCAAGGGAAGGGAGUCUUGA
rnacentral:lncRNA from 1 species